GCAAACCUUGGGUUGUGCCUCGGUUUUGCAUUUCCUAAAACUUGAAACCAGGCCCCUAACUUCUGCAAUGAGAAAGUAAAAUGUUUCUAGAUAAUACUAAAAAAAAUAUUUGAAAAAAACCCUAAUCCUAACUAUCCCUUCCCCUUUCGUUCUGUCACUAUGUUGCUGAAUCUUUGCUCGUCGAUGGACCUGGUAACCAUAAUAUUUCAAUCUUCAUCCUUUUUCCCCAAAUCCCACCAUUUUCGGAGUUCCUCGGAGCUCUAAUCACACCUUUACUUUCUCCGGGCUCAGUUCACCACACCAUCGAUAUUACUCCCUCUAAACAAAUCAACGUUGUUCUUUUAAAACUAUGGGCUCAAACUCCAACGACGUUUCUUCUAACUAGUAAGUCAGAUAGAUGCUUCAUUUCCCCCAAGCAGCCACCUGUGCACCGCCCCGUUGGCUUCCCAUGAUUUUGUAGCUUUUUAUGACGGUCCUUGAAUCGCCUUGAAUGAUAACUUUGUCAAAUCCCAUUUCUCUUUCAAAAACCACUCAUUGGAGACAUGCAUAAGCUUCAGCGGUUGUCUGGUCAUGGAUAUUAUUUAUUGCGUAAGUACUUGAACCCAUAACUAGCCCCAUACGAUUCCUGAUAAUUUUUCCCGGAACUACUUUGUUGCUCUGUUCGUUAAACGUGAUAUCAAAAUUCACCUUUACAUGACUUUCUGUCAGGGGUUCCCACUGUGUUUUCUCCAUAUGAAUUUGCAUGUUGUUGCUUCUUGCAGCAUGGCAAGCUCUGUAAUGUAUGCUUUAAUAAGAGCCACAAUCUCGUAUGAACUUUGUUAAAUACCUUCGUAAUAGUAUUUGUUUUUGUUAUACCAUAUUGCCCAUAGUGAACUGCUAGACAUGUACAACUGUAUGCAUUGUUGAUAUUGAAAGCCUCAGCUAACCACUGUUUCCAUGUUUGAUUGACAUGUGUGUGCCACUGUUAUUGCCAUUUGCUAGAGGACUCGUUUCGCAAGGGUGCAAUCUCUAAAUAGAUGGCUAAUUGAUUCUUCUUCUCCGCAUAAUGGGUACAGGGCAUCAUACCUUAGUCUACGAGCUUUUAAAUUACUUAUUGCUUGCAAUUCUCCAUAGAUUAAUGGGUACCUUGUUGGGGACUUUUAAGCUCCAUACCUUUAUAUAAUAUUUUCUAGUAUUUUCCGAAAAUGUUGUAAUUUCAUUCCCCAAUAGGUGUAGUUCUUCUGUAACACAUUGUUUGUAAUCAUUUUCUACCGUAUACUCCCCUAGUCUGUCCCCUCACCAAAUCUUGAUAUCUGGUUGCAAAGAGUUCCCUAGGGAAAUGGACUCAAUUAUUUUAACUUGUUCUUUUGGGAACAACCUCCUCAAGGUCUCCUCCCUCCAAGUAUUAGAUUCAUGGUAAAUUAGAUUUGCAA